GUUAAGACCAUCCCAAUUCUCAAUUGUUUAAUUUGGUUCCAGAAUAAUGAGUUGAGUUUUCUGAUUCACCAUCCAGUCUUAGGCUCCCAGAUUGGUGAUCCCGCAUCUUUUUGUUGGGUCAUCGUUCUACCAGUUUCAAUCCAUCUUCUCCAGGUUUGACUGCUAUGUCCAAACUGUGCUCCAGGAAAGAAUAUUCUAUAUCUACUGUAAAGAGAAGAAACAGUUUUGGUUCUGAACCUGAGAAAGAUCGGUCAGUCUACCGAACCUACCUGGAUGAGUCAGCUAGUGACCCGGAUUUUCUCAACGUGUGGUUGCAAAUGCAUGUAACAGGAGGAACUAAUGGAACACCUGGAGAUGGUAAUUUGUCUCAGAGAACACAAUCACCGGGAGUAAGCGGAUUGGUGGUGAGUAGGAAACGUAAAGCUUGGGAACCCCUUUCAGUCGGAAACAAAUACGUUGGCCUGGAUCGAACACCGGUCUCUAAAGGAUCUGAUGACGAGGAGAGAACGACGGGACUACAGACUCCGCACUGUAGUAGGACAGGGUUUGAGGACGGAGACGUGAGUGGAGGAGAGUUGUCUGGUAACUCGGAGAGUGGAGUAUCUGCAUCUAAAUCCAAUAUUCUAUCUCCAAUGAAUCCUAAUCUACUGAACGUUGAGGAUAUUGACGCGGAUAAUCUAGCUGCAGAUUUUGACGAAUCUUUUACAGGUUUAGGGGUAGAUAUAAAUACAACCAACUAUUCCAUGUCUGAAGCUAUGCUCAGUAUUAAUAAUAUAGCACUAUCCAACCAUCUCAAACAGGAAGGAGGAAGAUCGUCUAAGUCUGAAUCGAAUUACAUUUUCGCAAACUAUGGAGCUCUAGAUCUUUCUAACGAUGAUGCUCAAAACCCAGAUAACGAGGAUAAUGGCGUAUCUGGGAACCUAUGUGGUCUCCAGUCCUUCUCUGGACGUGUAUCCCGAGAUAACUCCCAGGAUAGUAUGAAAGCUAAAAUCCUGGAACGUAAACCUUCCAAAUCCUCCUCAGCAGAUCUUGAGUUGUCUCAUACUAAAGCGGAACACUGCAGUCCCAUCCAUCAUUAUUCACACGCUGGUGCUGGGUUUACAAAGAGCGUAUUAAUGUACGGCAAGGGAGACAUAGAUGAUCUAGGAUCCGAAGAUCUAGGAUAUAUGCCUCCUAAACUCGAACAUUUAGCCCCAAUACAAGUCCAAGAUGACGACCCGGAGUCAAGGUUUCAAUAUAUAUUGACGGCACCUACAAGUAUAGCCACGAAGUUGGGUGACCCGUCUCUUACCUAUAUCAACCAAGGUCAGAGUUAUGAACUAAAAAUAAAGAAGUUGGGUGAUCUAUCCUGCUAUUACAAGAAAAAAUGGUUGCGGAGCACAAUUAGAAUAUGUUUCCACGAGCGCCGGCUCCAGUAUAUUGAAAAUGAGCAGAUCCAGGAGUGGGCUAGGACACAUCCUAAUGAGAGGAUAGUCGAGGUUGAUCUCCCCCUCAGCUACGGGAUAGCAGAGGUGAAGCAGGAUAGUUCUAACCUCAGCACUAUCGCCUUCUCCUGGGAUCCGACCAGGGAGACGGGGAUCUUCGUCAAGGUUCACUGCAUCUCAACCGAGUUCACGCCCAAAAAACACGGGGGAGAGAGAGGGGUUCCUUUCAGACUACAGGUUGAGACUUGGUCCAGUGAAUCCAGGAUUCAUGCUGCAGCUUGUAUCCUUCAGGUUUUUAAACUUAAAGGAGCUGACCGGAAGCAUAAACAGGAUCGGGAGAAGGUUCAGAAGAGAAGUAUAACGGAACAGGAGAAGUUUUCCCCGCAGUACGAGUGUACUGUUUUAACCGACCUUAGCGUGGACAGUAUAUAUAUUCCACCCAGUCGGGGUAUAUCACCUGUACAGUCUGAUGGUGAAGGAAGUGUGAUUGUAAAAUCUGCUCCAUCCUUGAAAUCCUCUUCCGUUCCUCCAAACACCAGCAGAGAGGAACCUUUCCUCCCCGUCCCAUCCUGGAUCUCCUCGCACAAGGUUGGAUCUACUGCUGGAGCUGACUCUAAAUCCUGGAAGGUUAUCCUACCUAACAAUGCAUCUGCGGAAACUACCGCUGGUUGGCUUUCAUUCAAUAGGUAUGAGAUCCAUGUGAAAACAUUCCAAAAUUAUGACUCCAGAGAUAUUCUUAGACUUAGUAAAGACGAUCUGGUUCAGAUGAUUGGUCUAAUGGAUGGUGUAAGAUUGUUCAAUGAUCUCCACAUGAAACCUGUUGCUCCUCGACUUACAAUAUAUAUAGCUCAGAAGGGGGAUUCAGUGUUUCAUCCUUUCCUGCUUGAAGAUGUUACUGUACUUGAACUUAUCAAACUCAUGGCCCACACAUUCGAGAUACCCGAGUCAUUCCUUGCUAAAAUCGUGAUGAGCGGACCCAACAAGAUACUGGUUCGAAUGACGGACGAGUAUCUCCGAUAUCAGAAUCCUGACUCAGCCUUUCAUCUUCAUAUCGUAUACGACGACAACGGGGAAUCUUGCACAGUGCACCUGGAACCCAUUUCCUUCCAAUAAUCAUCAACAGAGCUCAUCUUAUCAUCAGGAAACUCUUUAUUAUCAGCUGAUUUCAUCAGCUGAUGUAAUUAUCAGCUGUUCCGCAGUGAUAUUUUAUAAUUCAGACCUAAGUACACACAUUUUUUAAAAAUUUAAAACUGUUAGGAAGAAGAUAUCACGAUUUCUAGCUUGUUUGUAACUUAGGUUUAGCCGAAAACUCGUUUCUGGGAUGUCCAAAACUAACUUUUUUAUGGAGAGAACGUAUUUUUGAUUGGUUAUUUUGUAAUACUGGAUAUUCUGGGGUUACGGGUAUAUUUACAGAUAUUCACAAACAAUGCAUUCAGUAAAAUUCUCAAUUAAUUUUGAAAGUUAGCGCUCUUCAUAUUUUUCUCAAGUAGUUUCAUGGGUUUCAGCGCAAUAGGUUUUGGAAAAUUUUCCUUUAAAUCUCAUCUUGAAACGCACGAAUAUGCGUAACACAUGUACCUAAUAGUGAACACAAAUUUUCAGCGCGAAUUCUCAAGAUUAGUGAUUG